UGCAGUCGAACGAGAAGCUGGAGCUUGCUCCAGUGGAAAGUGGCAGACGGGUGAGUAACGCGUGGGAACCUACCUAGUAGUACGGAACAACAGUUGGAAUCGACUGCUAAUACCGUAUAAGCCCUUCGGGGGAAAGAUUUAUCGCUACUAGACGGGCCCGCGUUGGAUUAGUUUGUUGGUGAGGUAACGGCUCACCAAGGCUACGAUCCAUAGCUGGUCUGAGAGGAUGAUCAGCCACACUGGGACUUAGACACGGCCCAGACUCCUACGGGAGGCAGCAGUGGGGAAUAUUGCACAAUGGGCGCAAGCCUGAUGCAGCCAUGCCGCGUGAGUGAAGAAGGCCCUAGGGUUGUAAAGCUCUUUCGGCGGGGACGAUAACGACGGUACCCGCAGAAGAAGCCCCGGCUAACUCCGUGCCAGCAGCCGCGGUAAUACGGAGGGGGCUAGCGUUGUUCGGAAUUACUGGGCGUAAAGCGCGCGUAGGCGGAUCUUUAAGUCAGGUGUGAAAGCCCGGGGCUCAACCCCGGAAGUGCACUUGAAACUAAGGGACUUGAGUAUGGGAGAGGGAAGUGGAAUUCCUGGUGUAGCGGUGAAAUGCGUAGAUAUCAGGAGGAACACCGGUGGCGAAGGCGACUUCCUGGACCAAUACUGACGCUGAGGCGCGAAGGCGUGGGGAGCAAACAGGAUUAGAUACCCUGGUAGUCCACGCAGUAAACGGUGAACACUAGGUGUAGCGGGUAUUGACCCCUGCUGUGCCGCAGCAAACGCAUUA
rnacentral:rRNA from 1 species